rnacentral:rRNA from 1 species
ACGACCUCAGGACAGGUGAGACUACCCGCUGAAUUUAAGCAUAUUAUUAAGCGGAGGAAAAGAAACUAACUAGGAUUCCCUU